GAUGAAGAACGUAGCGAAAUGCGAUACGUAGUGUGAAUUGCAGAAUUCAGUGAAUCAUCGAGUCUUUGAACGCACAUUGCGCCCUCUGGUAUUCCGGAGGGCAUGCCUGUCCGAGCGUCAUUGCUGCCCUCAAGCACGGCUUGUGUGUUGGGCUCCGUCCCCCGAUCCCGGGGGACGGGCCCGAAAGGCAGCGGCGGCACCGCGUCCGGUCCUCGAGCGUAUGGGGCUUUGUCACCCGCUCUGUAGGCCCGGCCGGCGCUUGCCGAUCAACCAAAUUUUUAUCCAGGUUGACCUCGGAUCAGGUAGGGAUACCCGCUGAACUUAAGCAUAUCAAUAAGCGGAGGA
rnacentral:misc_RNA from 1 species